CUCAUGGUUUCACGGUAUUGCAAUGAGAACAAUUUAAAACCCUUAGCGAGAAUCAAGUGGAGGACAAGUCUGGUGCCAGCACCCGCGGUAAUUCCAGCUCCGCUAGCGUAUAUUAAGGUUGUUGCAGUUAAAAAGCUCGUAGUUGAACCUCUGUCUGGGGCUAGUUUUGGCUUUGGUCAGGCUAGUUUUAGGCAUCCGCCUACAAGACUUAGAGGGCAUUCAGUUGUUCACUAGGAGGAGUAGGCAUUUUACUUUGAAAAAAUUAGAGUGUUUAAGGCAGGCAAUCGCCCGCAUAUAUUAGCAUGGAAUAAUAGAAUAGGACACUUUUCCAUUUCGUUGGUUAUUGGAAUCGUGUAAUGAUUAAUAGGGACAGUUGUGGGCAUUUGUAUUUAAUUGUCAGAGGUGAAAUUCUUGGAUUUAUUAAAGACAAACUAACGCGAAAGCAUUUGCCAAGGAUGUUUUCAUUAAUCAAGAACGAAAGUUAGGGGAUCAAAGACGAUCAGAUACCGUCCUAGUCUUAACUAUAAACUAUUCCGACUCAAUGUUUGACUGGCUUAUAUAACCAGUUGAGCGUUGUAUGAGAAAUCAAAGUCUUUAGGUUCUGGGGGGAGUAUGGUUGCAAAGCUGAAACUUAAAGGAAUUGACGGAAGAGCACAACCAGGAGUGGAUUCUGCGGCUUAAUUUGACUCAACACGGGGAAACUUACCAGGUUAAAACAAUAGUGGGAUUGACAGUUUGAGAGCGCUUUCUUGAUUGGUUGGGUGGUGGUGCAUGGCCGUUCUUAGUUGGUGGAGUGAUUUGUCUGCUUAAUUGCGUUAACGAACGAGACCUUAACCUGCUUACUAGACUGGCGAUCAUCAAUCGUUAGCUCUUCUUAGAGGGACUUUGGUUGUUUUAACUCCAAGGAAGUUUGAGGCAAUAACAGGUCUGUGAUGCCCUUAAAUAUCCUGGGCCGCACGCGUCACACAAUGACUAGUUCAGAAAGUUUUCACCUGACCCGAAAGGGGAUGGGUAAUCUUGAUAAUACUAGUCGUGUUAGGGAUCGAUCUUUGCAAUUAUAGAUCUUGAACGAGGAAUUCCUAGUAAGUGCGGUUCAUCAGACCGUACUGAUUACGUCCCUGCUCUUUGUACACACCGCCCGUCGCUUCUACCGAGUGGGUGGUCCGGUGAGAUAAUUGAACUUCGCAGGUAACUGAGAGGAAAGAUUAUCAAACCUAUCCACCU
rnacentral:rRNA from 1 species